GUGCCUGCUUCGGCAACACAUAUACUAAAAUUGGAAUGAUACAGAAAAAAUUAGCAUAACCCCUGAGCAAAAAUAACACGAGAAUUUGUUUUGUUUUUGUUUUU